rnacentral:rRNA from 1 species
GUUUCUUAGUGGCGAACGGGUGAGUAACGCGUUGGUGACCUGCCUCGAAGUGUGGAAUAACUCCGGGAAACUGGAGCUAAUACCGCAUGUGGUAUGUGGAUUUAGAAACCACUUACUAAAGGUCUUCGGAUCGCUUCGAGAGGGGCCUGCGUCCCAUCAGCUAGUUGGUAGGGUAAUGGCCUACCAAGGCUAUGACGGGUAGGGGACCUGAGAGGGUGAUCCCCCACAAUGGAACUGAAACACGGUCCAU